rnacentral:lncRNA from 1 species
UGCACACACAAUCACACACAUACACACAUACAAUCACACACAUGUACACACACACACACACAUACACACACAUACACACACAUACAUACACACACCAUAUGUUGAAAAUUUACUACACUAUAUCCUGUUUCCUUCAUUUGCAUUCCAGUACAACAGCUGUGUAGCUGUAAACAAUACUCAUGGAGAUAUAUUCCCGGAAAAUGAUGAAUUAGUUGAUGCUGAUUUGUAUAAGGCUGGUGUGUUCUUAGGGUGCACAUUUGGUAUCGCCUGUAUGUAUAUUUGGGCUGUUGGAAUUUUAGCUGCAGGCCAAAGCUCAACCAUGACUGGAACUUAUGUGGGACAAUUUGCCAUGGAGGGUUUCCUAAAUUUGCGAUGGAAGCGUUGGCAACGAGUACUUUUGACUCGUACAAUUGCCAUUACACCAACUUUCUUCAUUGCUUUUUAUCAGGUUAGUAUUUUUUAAUCUCUCUCACUUAGGCCAAAAUUUUAAUUUAAGGGAAAUGGAGAAUCAUGACAGCAGCAUUUGAUAAAGAUGACCAGCUUUACACUAGAAAGUUUCUUGUAUGUAGUUGUGAUCCAUCUAAUAGGCUGCACCACUUAAUUAGUUAACCCAUUUUAUUUCAAGGAAACAACUUCCCAUGACCUUUGGAUGGAAAGAAUGCAAUUAAUCAUAAUUAAGAGGUGAUCCCAAGAGUUAAUUUCAGAUCAUGUGCUGCAUGUUAGGGAUCUGUUUUCUGUUGCUAGCCACUCGGAUUGUUGUCUACACUCAUUGCAUGCCUGCUCUCAGAGUGUUUUACCUAUAUUUAUUCCCUUGUUCACUUUAUAGGUUAUUUGUGCAAAUGUUAAUUACUGUUCAGCUGUUUAUAGUCUCAUUUUAGAGUUUAUACAGCAGAAUCCAUCAUGAAAUAGUUGUAACAGCUUUUUUUUCAACAAAAAAAAAAUUCUUAGCAUAUUGAUAUUAGUUUAUAUCUCCAUUUCUGAAUGAGUAAUGCAUGUUCUUAUAAAUGGAACAAAUUGUUCAAUAUUUUGAAGAAAGUCCUGUUUCCUGGGACUUUAAACACUUUCCUUCAAUAAACAAAUUACACUUUAAGAAAUUGUAGUGGGUACCCCCAAGCCCAUGGGGGUUGCAAUGUCUUUAACAAUUAGUAAAGGGGCAGAGAUGGUAAAACAAACCCUGCUUUUGCUUUUAAUAAUAGCCUGUAAUAUUCUUUAAUAGUCUGUAAGUAUGGGGAACAAGAUGCUGCUUUGUUAUUUGGUAUGAUUUCUUAAAGUGUUAUUUCUUUAUUGAAGGAAAUGAAAAGCUGUUUCAAAAUCCCAAAAUCUGCAAAAUAUUGAAGUUAUUUUUCUUUUAACCCAUUCGCGAUGGAACAUAUAUUCAUCUACCCCCGUUUCUGUUAGGAAGUUAACAAACACAUGACGCUUCAUUCCAAGGUGUUUUUCCACUGCAUAUGGUCGUGCUGAACCUCUCAGAGUGUUUUUCACCCACGUUAACCUUAUGGUUACUAUAAUUGUAUGUACAAUGUUAAGGCAUGUAAAAAUAUUGCCGCGUUCAGAGGAGUUAUUUCAGUCAAAAAUCAUGUUACAGCGAUGCUCUUCUAGUGUUAUUUAAUUGAACUUUGCCCAUAUUCUUCACUUCUAUAUGAUAAUACCAAUGGAAAGUGGAAGCAAUCUUUUAGUGGGGUAUUAGUAAAGAGGUUUUAUACUUAACAUUUUUUUUUACAUACAGGUAAUAAUCAGUUCAGUUCAGACAG